rnacentral:rRNA from 1 species
UGGGGAAUAUUGCACAAUGGGCGGAAGCCUGAUGCAGCGACGCCGCGUGGGGGAUGAAGGCCUUCGGGUUGUAAACUCCUUUCGACAGGGACGAAGCUUUUGUGACGGUACCUGUAUAAGAAGCACCGGCUAACUACGUGCCAGCAGCCGCGGUAAUACGUAGGGUGCGAGCGUUGUCCGGAAUUACUGGGCGUAAAGAGCUCGUAGGUGGUUUGUCGCGUCGUCUGUGAAAUUCCGGGGCUUAACUCCGGGCGUGCAGGCGAUACGGGCUGACUUGAGUGCUGUAGGGGAGACUGGAAUUCCUGGUGUAGCGGUGAAAUGCGCAGAUAUCAGGAGGAACACCGAUGGCGAAGGCAGGUCUCUGGGCAGUAACUGACGCUGAGGAGCGAAAGCAUGGGUAGCGAACAGGAUUAGAUACCCUGGUAGUCCAUGCCGUAAACGGUGGGCGCUAGGUGUAGGGGGCUUCCACGUCUUCUGUGCCGUAGCUAACGCAUUAAGCGCCCCGCCUGGGGAGUACGGCCGCAAGGCU